AUCCAGCUGACGAGUCACAAACAGGACGAAACUAAUGUCCUGAAU
rnacentral:hammerhead_ribozyme from 1 species